rnacentral:rRNA from 1 species
GAUGAACGCUGGCGGCAUGCCUAACACAUGCAAGUCGAUCGGUAAGGCUCUUCGGAGUACACGAGAGGCGGACGGCUGAGUAACGCGUAGGAACACACCCUGCAGUGAGGGAUAAGACACCGAAAGGUGUUCUAAUACCGCAUACGGUCUUCGGAUUAAAGCAUUUAUGCGCUGAAGGAGUGGCCUGCGUCAUAUUAGAUAGUUGGUGAGGUAAUGGCUCACCAAGUCGAUGAUGUGUAGCUGGUCUGAGAGGAUGAUCAGCCAGACUGGAACUGAGACACGGUCCAGACUCCUACGGGAGGCAGCAGUGAGGAAUAUUUCACAAUGAGCGAACGCUUGAUGGAGCAAUGCCGCGUGCAGGCUGAAGGCCCUCGGGUUGUAAACUGCUUUUAUAAGCGAAGAUUAUGACGGUAACUUAUGAAUAAGGGACGGCUACCUACGUG